GCGCGGCCGCUCCGCCCUCACCUGAGCCUGAGGUUGGCCAUGAACUCGGGCAUGGAGACGGUGUCCAUCAGCACGAAGUCUGCCUUGCCGAAUUCCAGGCUCUCCUGCUCCGCCAUGGCGCCAGCGCGGGGGCUCAGGUGGGCGCGCUCGGGCCUCCGGGGCCGCUCCGUGGGCCCGCGAUGAGCUCGGGAGGGGCCGGGGCGAGGCCGCGCCGCGAGGCUACGGGGAGGGGGCGCGCACGCCGCUCGGCGGGUCCGGGCCGGACAGAGGCCGCCUCGCUGCUCCUCGGCGCCUUCUCGGCCGGCGCGGCUCCGAACGGGACGCACCCGACAGUUUCCGCUCCUCCCGCCGCGGCUGCCGGGCGCUGUAGGGGCCGGGACACCGAGACGGAGACGGCAGCGGCUGGUCCCGCCUCCAGCCUGGGGCUCGUCCCGGCUCCGCCCCGCCCGGGCCUCCCGGCUCCGCCCCUCCCGGCCCACUGAGGAGCCCGCCCCAGCCGCGGCCCUGGCCGCCGCCUCUUCACCUGGGCGGCGCGCACGCGCGGGUGGGCGGCGGGGACGCGCGCUGGGCCGGGCGGCGGCAGCUGGGUGGCAGCGCCCCCUGGGGACAGGCGCUGGGAUCUCAGGCGGCCAAGAGGAUGGCCGCCUGCCGCCCACACUUGGUAGCUGCCAACAAAGUUAGAAAAGUAGUUCGUGGAGCUUUUCGCGAGGACAAUUCAUUAUGAUUCUGUCACCCUGCUCCAAAACCCACUCCCGCCUCUCUACUCACACCCUGCCCAUUCUUGAAGUGGUGGUUCAAGCACAGACUGAGAGGUAAUAAUAAUGGCUAACAUUUUUGGGGCACCAAAAAUGCCCAGAGCUGUUCUCAGCGCCUUAGAGAACUUUUAAGAAACUUGCCAUACGACUAGGAAGUGGAGCAGCUGCGGUUUCACGCAGGUCAUUUGACUUAGGAGCCGCAGCGUUCAACCACGUCUGACUACCUCCAUUCUUCAGUGGCCCAUUUUCUCUUCCACUCAUCCGAGCAUGUCAUCAGACAUUACCUUAUAUGAUUAUUAAGUUUUUAAUAUAUCUUUGUAUCAUCUCUCCAGGAUUAUUGCGGAUGUCUUGAGCAUGGGACCAUUCUUUUUGCAUCCACCAAAUAACUAUUGUACUACUUUGCAUAUAUAAAUAUGAAAUCCAUACUGGUUCAGUGGAAUGAAGUGAGUUGUAAGUAGUCUCCAAUUUAUUGAUACAUUGGUUGAGCUUGGAAAAUUCUUUUUGAACUCAAUGUAUUUUCCCAAAGAAAAUAUACUACAAAUGACUUUCUUUCUUUUUUUUUUUUUUUUCUUUUUCUGGAGACAAAUUCUCCCUCUGUCACCCAGGCUGGAGUGCAGUGGUGCAAUCACAGCUCACUGCAACCUCAAACUCCUGGGCUCAAGCAAUCCUCCAGCCUCAGCCUCCUGAGCAGCUGGGACUACAGGUGUAUGACACCAUGCCCAGCUAUUUUUUUUAAAUAAAUGACUUUCUAAGGUAUCUACAUUUAUUCAGUCCUGUGUUUCUGUUAGGACAUCUUCUAUUACAAAAUCUACGAGGAAAUCUAGAGGCCUCCAAGGACCUGGCUGGGCUUCAACUCUGGCUGAGUUUGAGAUGAGUAAACCAGACUGAAGGACCUUGCCCAAGGCCUGCUUCAGCUGCCAGCCACCCACACUUGCUAAGAGAAAGGAAAGGAGCUUUGUCACCUCCUGAGGGACUGCCUCUGCCAUCAGAAAACCACCCCAAUCCCUGGCACCAGCAGAGCUGGGUUGCAUCUGACUACCGUUAGCAGCUGUCCUUCAGAAGGAGGAGAUCCACCUGUCUCGAUAUCAGUGUCCUCAUUUGUGGAAUAAAAGCUCUGGAAUAAGGUAGGACUGUCCUAUGGUUGGGUCAUUUGUGGAGGUGUCGGUCAGUGGCUAAGUAGGUUAUUGCAUAGGGUAUGGUUGUAUUCCUAAUGUUUGUAUUGGCAUGUUUUAACAUAAGCAGAACUGAACUUCAAGAAGGAAAGAAAGAAAUCUCAAACUGUAUGCACUUUGGAGCAUCCAGGGACCACACCCCAAAACCUUUUGGUAAAUUAUAUAUGUGUGUUCCCUGAGCUCUGUAGGUGUUAAAAAUUAGGGCAAAAUCCCAGGUACCAGGAAAAGAAACAUCACGGCUUGCAGAUGAUGAGAGAGUUGCAGAAAUUGUACAGUGGUUAGGAGCUAUGGUGGGAUACAAUGUGGUUUCCAAAUGGCCAAAGUAAGAGAUCCUCAUUUUAAUCAACAUCUUAUAUAGGAACCCAACAUAUAAAACACAUAUACAACAUAUGCAAAGGGUAUUUUAUUAAUUUCUUGUAUAAGUCCAAAUUAGUAUAAAAUUAGGCAUUGAUGCUCUCAUGAUGAACCCAAAUCUGCUCAAUGGGGCUCACUAUUAGCCUCAGGAUUCCAGUUUACUUUUGUAUGUUGUUUUCAUUGUACUGUGUCAAGCAAAUUCUUGUUUGUAUAACUAAGCAGUAAUUUGUUACCCAUACAACUUUACAUUCAGCAUUUCUAGGCCAAUGUGCAGUUACAACAUUAUUAAUCAAUGACACACUUGAGCAAAGUUCAGGUAUAUGCACAGCCGGCAGGAGAGACUGAAUACUCUGGUCUGCAUUCAGUCAAGGUAACCUAGAGCAGAUUAGCUCAUUAUGAAUGUUCUUUGUGAUAAAAUUUGAAUAGAAACACAUUUGGAGAUGCAUGUUUUUGUUACAGUUUAAAAUAUACAAAAAAUAAAACAAAUAAAAGUUUAUAUCCCCAAUCAUGAGACACACAGACACCAUGAGCCUCCUGAUAUGGUCUCCUGAAAAAGACACAUAUCAUUUACCUGCUAAAAAUACGUAAAUGGAAUCUAAUCAUGAAGAAGCAUCAAACAAACUCACAUUAAGGGGCAUCCUACAAAACAAUUGACCUGUAUUCUUCAAAAAUAUCAAUGAUGUGAAAGACAAAGAGGCUGAGGCACAUCACUAUUAAAGGCAAUGGGUGAUUCUGGACUGGAUCUCCAACCAGAAAAAUGUAAAGGACAUUGUUGGGAUAAUUGGUGAAAUUCAAAUAUAGACGCGAUGUUAGAUAGUAGGAUAGUAUCAAUGCUAGUUUUUCUGAACUUGAUCAUUUUACUGGGAUUCUGCAAGAUAAUGUCCUUGUUUCUAGCAGGUAUCUGCUAAAGUAUUUAGGAGUAAAAUGAUGUCUCGAACUGUUUGGCAAGAAUAAUAAAAAUAAUAAGAUGAGGAGGUGGAAGGAGGGCGUGCAUAUAUAUUGGUAGACAUAUAAAUGAUUAAAGCAAAUGAUGCAAAAUACUAACAAGUGGUAAAGUCAUUAAAAAUAUAUGGGACUUUUGAGGGGAUUUUCUUUUGUACUAUCCUCACAACUUUUCUGUAACUUUGCAAUUAGUUUGAAAUUUAUUCAUUUAUUUUGAGACGGAGUCUUGCUCUGCCGCCCAGGCUGAAGUGCAGUGACACGAUCUCGGCUCACUGCAACCUCCGCCUCCCGGGUUCAAGCGAGUCUCCUGCCUCAGCCUCCUGAGUAGCUGGGACUACAGGUGCAUGCCACCAUGCCCAGCUAAUUUUUGUAUUUUUAGUAGAAACGGGGUUUCACCAUGUUGGUCAGGCUGGUCUCAAGCUCCUGACCUCAUGAUCUGCCCACCUCAGCCUCCCAAAGUGCUGGGAUUAGAGGUGUGAGCCACCACACUCGGCCUG
rnacentral:lncRNA from 10 species